GCCCGGGUGGCGGAAUAGGCAGACGCAUCGGACUUAAAAUCCGAAGCCUCGUAAGGGGCGUGGGGGUUCAAGUCCCCCCCCGGGUA
rnacentral:tRNA from 2 species